rnacentral:rRNA from 1 species
UACAGAGGUCUCAAGCGUUGUUCGGAUUCAUUGGGCGUAAAGGGUGCGUAGGCGGCGUGGUAAGUCGGAUGUGAAAUCUCGGAGCUUAACUCCGAAACUGCAUUCGAUACUGCCGUGCUUGAGGACUGGAGAGGAGACUGGAAUUUACGGUGUAGCGGUGAAAUGCGUAGAUAUCGUAAGGAAGACCAGUGGCGAAGGCGAAUCUCUGGACAGUUACUGACACUGAGGCACGAAGGCCAGGGGAGCAAACGGG